GACGAACGCUGGCGGCGUGCCUAAUACAUGCAAGUAGAACGCUGAAGGAGGAGCUUGCUUCUCUGGAUGAGUUGCGAACGGGUGAGUAACGCGUAGGUAACCUGCCUGGUAGCGGGGGAUAACUAUUGGAAACGAUAGCUAAUACCGCAUAAGAGUAGAUGUUGCAUGACAUUUGCUUAAAAGGUGCAAUUGCAUCACUACCAGAUGGACCUGCGUUGUAUUAGCUAGUUGGUGGGGUAACGGCUCACCAAGGCGACGAUACAUAGCCGACCUGAGAGGGUGAUCGGCCACACUGGGACUGAGACACGGCCCAGACUCCUACGGGAGGCAGCAGUAGGGAAUCUUCGGCAAUGGACGGAAGUCUGACCGAGCAACGCCGCGUGAGUGAAGAAGGGUGUCGGAUCGUAAAGCUCUGUUGUAAGAGAAGAACGAGUGUGAGAGUGGAAAGUUCACACUGUGACGGUAUCUUACCAGAAAGGGACGGCUAACUACGUG
rnacentral:rRNA from 1 species